rnacentral:rRNA from 1 species
UAUGAAACCCAUUUGAGCGAGAGUAGUACUAGGAUGGGUGACCUCCUGGGAAGUCCUCAUGAAAGGGUUUCAUAU